UACAGAGGUCUCAAGCGUUGUUCGGAGUUACUGGGCGUAAAGGGUGUGUAGGCGGUUGUUUAAGUUUGGUGUGAAAUCUCCCGGCUCAACUGGGAGGGUGCGCCGAAUACUGAAUGACUAGAGUGCGGGAGAGGAAAGUGGAAUUCCUGGUGUAGCGGUGAAAUGCGUAGAUAUCAGGAGGAACACCGGUGGUGUAGACGGCUUUCUGGACCGUAACUGACGCUGAGACACGAAAGCGUGAGUAGCAAACAGG
rnacentral:rRNA from 1 species